rnacentral:miRNA from 1 species
CGUGGUUGGUGGCUGAACUUAG